UACGAAGGGGGCUAGCGUUGCUCGGAAUCACUGGGCGUAAAGCGCAUGUAGGCGGCUUUUUAAGUCAGGGGUGAAAUCCUGGAGCUCAACUCCAGAACUGCCUUUGAUACUGAGGAGCUUGAGUCCGGGAGAGGUGAGUGGAACUGCGAGUGUAGAGGUGAAAUUCGUAGAUAUUCGCAAGAACACCAGUGGCGAAGGCGGCUCACUGGCCCGGUACUGACGCUGAGGUGCGAAAGCGUGGGGAGCAAAUAGG
rnacentral:rRNA from 1 species